rnacentral:sRNA from 1 species
UUUCCUCCACUCUUCAUUAAUUGCCUCAGGAUGUUUUGCCGUGAAAUCUUUCCGGAUUCUUUCGUGAUAAAAUCAUCUUUUUUGUUUUUUUAUCGGAAAUCCAUCAUUCGUAUUUAAAUAAUUGAUUAUCAGCGGAUUGACAAGUUGUAAAAUGCCAUAAGUAAUGAUUUAGCGACCUAUCUUCUGCAAUGACACACAACGCUUUGCAUAACUCGAAUAACCUGUUGCAAAGGUAAUACUAUCUACGGAGAAAGACGAAACUUUCUCCGUUUUUCUUUUCUAAUAGUUGUCUGUUCAGACAAUAGUUUUCAUUCUUUUCGUCUUAUUCCUCACGAUUAUGGCAGCCUUUCUUGUGAAGGCUGCCUUUCAUUUUUUCGCUCUGUCCUCUCAGGUGUUCCUCUCCACAUUCUACUCUAUGUAUUCGCAUCGGGAUCGGUUGUUCGUUGUCAGCGGCAAAGGUAGUUCCGGGCUUUCACGGACAAAAAAGGUCGGGGCGGCAAGCCGUUUAGACGACAAUCUCCACACUUCCAUUUCAUUGCAGGUAGUAUUCUCGCCGUAAAACCUUGUUUGUCCUAAGCCCUACCUUUUUUACGCCCCUGAAACGAAAACGACCGACCCGACGGAAAGACGUAUAAAAAAAAUGUCGGAUAUGCGAGAAGCUGGGAAAAAGAAAAAGUUGAAACUCAAACUCCCUCACCUCUGGAAUCCGCAUAAACCCAAAUUACGCGAUCCCCUGUUUGGUGUUUACCAUUAAUAAUGGAUGUGCAAAUGUAUGACAAUGGUUACGUCAGGCUUACAGCCCUCCCAACGGGGAUAUUGCUUUUUUCCCCAACGCUCCGCAUUGGGCUGAAUUAUCUCGCCCUUUCAGGGCUGUUUAUUAAUGGUUAAUUGUCAAUGGUUAAUUGUCAUGCCGGGUACAUGAUUCGGCGUGUAACACGCAUAACCAUUACCCGAAAGGGCUGAAAGCCCAAAUUAUUUCAGCCCCAUCCCAUAAGGGUGGGGUAUCGACAUCCGGACCUUGUUCGGAGGGCUGAAGGCCUGAAUUAAAUUCAUUCUUAUUUCUUCUAUCGCGUAAUCCGGGAUAAAAUAAAAAAAAAUCAGACAAGAUGAAACUGAGAUACAAAAUAUCAAUUUGGGGGACACUUGCACUCGCAGGCUCUCUCCUUUGGGGCGGAAGCCUCUGGCUUUGGCUGGUAGGGAUAUGUGCAGGGAAAUUCCUCAUUCGGCUACUCCUUACCAUUGCUUUGGCAAUCGCCGCAUACAUUUUGGCUUAUGCCCUCAUCAUUGGGGCAAUACUUUGGUUAUUCAUUUAUUAAACAGACAGAUAU